rnacentral:rRNA from 1 species
GACGAACGCUGGCGGCGUGCUUAACACAUGCAAGUCGAACGGUAAGGCCCUUCGGGGUACACGAGUGGCGAACGGGUGAGUAACACGUGGGUGAUCUGCCCUGCACUUCGGGAUAAGCCUGGGAAACUGGGUCUAAUACCGGAUAGGACCCUGGGAUGCAUGUCCUGGGGUGGAAAGCUUUUGCGGUGUGGGAUGGGCCCGCGGCCUAUCAGCUUGUUGGUGGGGUGAGGGCCGACCAAGGCGACGACGGGUAGCCGGCCGGGGAGGGUGAGCGGCCACACUGGGACUGAGAUACGGCCCAGACUCCUACGGGAGGCAGCAGUGGGGAAUAUUGCCCAAUGGGCGCAAGCCUGAUGCAGCGACGCCGCGUGAGGGAUGACGGCCUUCGGGUUGUAAACCUCUUUCAGCACCGACGAAGCGCAAGUGACGGUAGGUGCAGAAGAAGGACCGGCCAACUACGUGCCAGCCGCCGCAGUAA